UAGGGAAUAUUACGCAAUGGGCGAAAGCCUGACGCAGCAACGCCGCGUGAGUGAUGAAGGCCUUCGGGUUGUAAAACUCUGUCAGAUGGGAAGAACCCUGACCGAUUUAUAAGAUCGGACAGCUGACGGUACCAUCAGAGGAAGCUGCGGCUAACUCCGUGCCAGCAGCCGCGGUAAUACGGAGGGAGCUAGCGUUGUUCGGAAUUACUGGGCGUAAAGGGUGCGUAGGCGGUGAUAUAAGUCAGUCGUGAAAUUCCGGGGCUCAACCUCGGAGCUGCGAAUGAUACUGUAUUACUUGAGGAAUGGCGGAGAAAAUGGAAUUCCAUAUGUAGCGGUGAAAUGCGUAGAUAUAUGGAAGAACACCUGUGGCGAAAGCGGUUUUCUAGCCUUCUCCUGACGCUGAGGCACGAAAGCAAGGGGAGCAAACA
rnacentral:rRNA from 1 species